AAAAAUGGCAGAGAAAAGGGAUGUGCAAAAAAAUAAAAUAAUGUAUUACUCAUGACAUAACAAUUACACAAAUGUGUUAUGGAUUGCUACAACUCCAGACCUGGGAGGAGUAAAAAAAAAAAAAAAAGAUGAACAAUAACAGAAGAGUGCACACAAUCUUUUGGAGUUUCAUUUUACUGUACAUAGAAACACCACAACACAAAUGGUGGUGAUACAAGUAGCAUUAAGAGAUUGGUAGUUUAGCAACAAAACCGACACGUACGCAACUAUGGGGCAAAACAUACAGGGUUGGCUUAGAUUUUUGACAAACUAUAUUUUGUCUCCAAUGUUUAUUGAAAACAUAAAUGUGCACAAUGAGCACUUGUAUGGGGUCAAUUUCACUCCAUAUGUAUUGAAUUCAAAAUAAAAUAUAACGUCAACAUGAAAAAUAAAGUUGAGAAUGUAAACAUAUUUUCGAGGACGGGUGAAAUAAUGGAUGUUGAAAUGAAAAACCAAACAAUUGAAAGCAAAAUGUAUAGAAUUGUAAACAAAAAUGAGACAUCAAAAGCCAAAAACUUGUAAGCAAAUCAUUUUAAAGCGAGAGGAAAACUAUGACAAAUGGUAAAAAUAUAUAUAUAUAUUUGAAAACGAAUGCAAAAAUUGUUUUCGGUUAAACUUUCCCAGCAACCAAUCCUGUUGAAUACAUUUUGCCUACGCUCUUGCCUGCAUGUACUACCUUUUGGUUACGCUACUCGUAUCUUUGCUUUUGUUGGCUGUUUCUUUGCUUUCACUGCCAGUCUUUUCGAUUGUGAGUUUUGACAUUAUUUUUCCGUGAAGAGCGGGGUUUAGAGGGAGGUGUAGACAAUGAGUCUCCAUUGGUCCACUAGUUUUGGAGUGACGGAUCGUCUUAACCCAAUCAAUGAACACGAUAAGUAGGUAAUAGAAAAAAGCUUGUCUAAGUAGACCGUCUGACGUCACCUGGUUUUAGCUAACGUACUUCAAAAUUGUCAGUCACGGGUCAAUAAUGUAUGGAUAUUAGAAGCAUGUCUAUCUAAUACAUUUAAUGACAAACCAUCUAACUACUUAGGUAAACAUAUGAAUAACCUGUUGCACAACGUUUGGCGCAGGUGUAAGUCAUAUGUUUACCUAAGUAGUUAGAUGGUUUGUCAUUAAAUGUAUUAGAUAGACAUGCUUCUAAUAUCCGUACAUUAUUGACCCGUGACUGACAAUUUUGAAGUACGUUAGCUAAAACCCUAAAACCAGGUGACGUCAGACCGUCUACCUAAGUAGGUAAUAGAAAAAAAGCCUGUCUAUCAUGUUCAUUGAUUGGGUUAAGACGAACCGUCAAUCCAAAACGAGUGGACCAAUGGAGACUCAUUGUCUACGCAUCCCUCUAAACCCCGCUCUUCACGGAAAAAUAAUGCCAAAACUUACAAUCGAAAAGACUGGCAGUGAGAGCAAAGAAACGGACAUAGAAAGCAAAGAUACGAGUUGCGUAACAAAAAGGUAGCACAUGCAGGCAAGAGCGUAGGCAAAAUGUAUUCAAUAGGAUUGGUUGAAAGUUUAACCGAAAACUAUUUUUGCAUUCGUUUUCAAAUAAAAAAAAUAUAUAAUUUGUCAUAGAGUUUUGCUCUCGCUUUAAAAUUAUUUGCUUAAAAGUUUGUCUUAUUUGUGUUUCCAAUUCUAUACAUUUUGCUUUCAAUUGUUUGGUUUUUGAUUUCAACAUCCAUUAUUUCACCCGUUCUCUAAAAUAUGUUUACAUUCCCAACUUUAUUUUUCAUGUUCACAUUUUUUUAAUAUUUUUGAAUUCAAUAAUUAUAGCGUGAAAUUGACCCCAUACACUUGUCCCUCAAAUAUAACGUUACAGAAUAUUAGCAUAGAUGUGACAUCAGUCAAAACGCCUCAAAACAAGACAUGGUAUCAAGAACUAGGUAAAACGAGCCACCUACAGAUUCCCCACGUGGCAGGUUCUUGACAUUUUUGCUAGCUAUCUGACCAUCCAGAAUCACAACACACUGUCUUCUGCCCCAUUGAAGCGUGCGCAUCGUUUUCGUGACGUCAGCUAACCCGUCUAUAGAUAAGCCCUGACAAUUUUAUUUUUUUACAGUCACAUUUUCUAGCUAAAUAUUUUACUAAAAUUGGACUGCAAAGACUGCCACAAAAUUAUCUGCCAGAUAUAUCAUAUUAUACCUCUGCAACUGUCAUAACCAAUAUGCUUGGUUGCAUUCAAGUUAUGCAUGCACAUCUGACAAUAAAAGGCUACAUUUAUACUGGCAGCCCAAUUCAGUAUUUAUUUCUCGCUAAUUGGUCUUUUGACCAAUCACAUCAGAUCCUUUCACAGAUCUUUUUCAGAGCUAAUCUGAUUGGUCAAAAGACCAAUUAGUGAAAAACAAGAUCACCAACAAGAAUUGGCUGCCUGUCUAAACACAGCCUAAGUACAAUGACCCUUAUGCACCAUGGACCAAUGUACUGUGUAAAGAGAUAGACUGGAUACCCUGGACUGGAUACCCUGGAGUGGUGAGUAGGACAGGAGACUGUAAAUCUGAAUUCUCCUAGCCAGUCCAUUGGAGUUUGUGGGCUUCCUGGGAUUACAUUAUGGAGUGUAGCUCCCAAGUCUUUAAAAUAAGAUUAAAAAGUGAAAACUUGUAUUUUUCCUCUCAAGGGACCAGGCCUAAGGAUUUUUUGGAAGCUGUCUUUGCUGCAUUUCUCUAAGUGAGAUUUCUAGAUGAGUUUUAAAGCUGGUGUUUCAAUGGGAUAUUUACAAUAUAACGGGAGUAAUCACAACAGCAUACAUUUACAACACAAUCUAAAGUUACAGAUGAAAUACUGUAUGCCGUGUCAUAAAUGUUUUAUUUUCUCCAUGCGUUUUACCAUUAUGGUUUACCAUUGCUACAAUAUACCACUUGUUGUUGUUGGUCAUGGAUGUUAUAUUGGGGGACAUUAUUGUAUACUGCAUUAACUGCCAACAUUGCACAUAUUCUCUAAUACAAACCGACAAUAGCAACAACCUUGUCACGUAGUCUUUGACACAUUUGUUUCUUUCGAGCAUUUUUUACUUUUACUAAUACUGACCAAAUAGUGGCUUUAACAUUAAACAGAAUAAAAUUGUGAGAGGUUAGCAAACAUAUAGAGUAUGGCAACAUGAUCAGCCUGAAGGCACUUUAUGAUGCUUGUUUAUUUUCUAUUGAAGAUCAGAAUGUAGUGUAAAGCCCUGCCUCUAUUCUACUCCUCAAGCUAAUCAUACAGUCUGAUGAUGUUUUGAACAUGUCAGGUAUUGUUAGGGUGAGGAGUUUUCCUGAUCUGGACAACUCAUCAGGUUGUGUGGUCAAGAAAAACUCUCGGCCCUAACUUUAUGAAAACCUGUAUUCCUUGUUUCUAACAAGUCUUGAUUCAGCAUUAUGAGUGUUAUUUGAGGCAGUUCAAAAUAGUGUUUGAACCAUCACCACACAGCAGUGCUUCUCAACUCCAGUCGUCCAAUAACCCCAACAGCAAAGAUUUUUGUUGUAGCCCUGGACAAGCACACAGAUUCCAAUGGUUAACUAAUCAUCAAGCCCUCAAUGAGCUGAAUCAGGUGAGUUUGUCCGGGCCAACAACAAAAUGGUGUGCUGUUGGGGGUACUCGAGGACUGGAGUUGGGAAACACUGCUAUACACUACUCCUAGGCCAGUGCAACCCAGUGCUAUGAAUCCAAUGAUAGCACUGUGGGUUUAUCAAGGAAUGAUUGUCUAUGAACUGACUGACACAAAUCAAACAAAGUUAGUUGCCUAUUAAUAAAGACAACAAAAAAAUGUAAUGAUGCUUUCAGGGGCAUCACAGCUUACUGCAUUUCACUUUCAAAGCUAACACUUCACUGAACAAAACAGCUCAAACUAGUCUCUACAAAUAAUCACUUAUACAUCAUGCUCACUGUUUGGUCAUUCAAGGAACAAAUAUGAAUGGCUACUGGGGGCAGCUUUUAGUUUUAUAAUAUAUAAUUCAGUUCUGCUUUGAAUUAAGCAUCAAGAUGUGAGAAACAAUUGAAAUGUGGUCGUUCUUGCACUAUACUGUAAGUCUGUCAUAGGGCAAGGUGCACUCCUGGACUGUCCAAGAUGUGAGUCUACGGUGGAGCACAACCACAAAAUGGGGUAACCAAAGAAGUGGGGAGGGUAAAAAGGUCCUUCCAAGUGUACACGUUCCCACCCUCCUCCUAGUGGCCUACAAUAGCAUUGCUACAGUUCUGCUGUGCAUAUCAUAGAACUAGAUUGAAUGUGGACUAAUAGAUUGCACUUCCUGAAUGACAAAGCAUAACUGUUAAACCCUCCAGGGCCUUUAGAGAGUUCGAGAGAUAGAGAGAGGAGGAUAAGUGAAAAGUAAGCGAUGGAGUGAGUAAAGAAGUGUCCUAUGUGGUCUUGACCAGGUCGUAGACAUGGAUGUGAAAGUCAUCGUCGUAUUUGAUGUAGUAUACAGAGGGCUUGGCAGGGACUUGGUAGAUCACUAGGCCUGUUCGCUUCACACCUUUGUCAGUAACAUACUCCACCUGCUUACCCACAAGACUCUCAGUCUCCUCGCCUGGCUUUCGGUCGGCCGGAAGCAAGUGCUUAUUUUCU
rnacentral:lncRNA from 1 species